GACCCAGUAGUGGAUGGUCCGCGUCUGCCGUUCUUGAAUGACGAUUCUUGUAUGGUACAGCAGAAGGUCGCCCGUUCGACUCGGGCCUGGGCCC